rnacentral:lncRNA from 1 species
UCAGUUACAUUAUUGUAAAUAAAGAGAUCACAUGUGUCUGAGAGUUAAGGGGAAAAUAAAACACCUACUAACAAAAAAGGGGGGAUCAUGGCCUACUUGUUGAUCUAAUGGAGACUUAACAUGUAGUAGUAGCCCCAUCACUACCAAAUUCCACUAUUGGGAGACAUCACAACGUCCCUACAUUGAGUACCAAUGAACAAUGAAGUUAUCCCCAAAAUUGUAAAAACGACUAUCUUUGGCUCUUACACUUUCAACUAUUCAUGUUUUGGUCUGCGUAACUCCAGAACACCGUUCUAGAGACUUGGGUGAAAAGUUGUAGGGAAAAGGGUGGAGUUACUUUGCAAAUUACAGGAACUGCAAUGUUUUAAAUCUCUUGGACAUAAAAGAAGUAAUUGCAAAGUGGAGAAAAGGACUUUGUUCGAUGAGUUUGAAGAAAAGUUAAGAAAAAAUAGAAAUUAAUAUGACCAGGAACGUGGAUAGAUAUGAUCCUGUCUCUGAUGAAGAUGAACCGCUAUUUUUGGUCGAGAAUUUGAAGGACAUCUGAACAAAUCUUGGAAGUAUUCAUGCCUAGGGAUCUACAAACACCUUCAGUUCUAUAGGAUAUGCUUUCAGAAAGAAACAAAGUUGGUAAGAAUGAUGAAAAACAUUUAACAUUGAACAGUUAGAAGAAGAAGUAUUUAGGUUGCAAACGCUAUUUGCCUCAGAAAUAACGGGAGAAUUGUAUUGAGAAAACAGAAAGAGGUGCUCCAGAAGCCUUCACCUUGUCCUAACCCCCCAAAUAAGAAGAUUCGAAAAGGACAUCAAAUCCUGUGAAAGAGUCAAAAGAGAAGAGAUCUAAGUAAAAUAGCAUUAUUGAAGAUGUAAAUCAUAAUCCUACAUUAACCUUAAAAUGACGUAGUCGGAAAAUAUUCAUCUCCGAAGGACAAUAUUAUUAUAAUGGGAGACCUCGAUAUAAACAGAUAGCUACACAGAGACGCGAUAGGAUCACGAGCAGACUUGUUUUAUCGAGGAUCUUAGGGAAACUACAUGAAUUAAAAAAAUACAGCUAUAUGCAGAUGAUUGUACAUUAUUUCUCACGGGAUCUCCUUCAGAAAUACGGACUUCGAUUGACACUUUACCCAAGGCCAUGGAAAAUUUAAGGGAACCGACUGGGUCUUGAAAUAAAUAAAAAGAAAAAAUAUAUAAUUACAAUAUAUAUUAAGUUAUAUAAUCAAAUUAUACAUUACUAUGUACUUCCCUGAAUUUGAAAUCGAAGGAAGGACCAAGCUCCUUGGGAUUUUUAUUGCUUCAAGCUCAAAAAUAAGUGAAAAGGCCAACAAAAUUGUGCUUAUCAAUAGAUUACAAAAAUCUUCAUCACAUUUCUCAAAAAUCCUUCACAAUAAGCUUCAUAAGACCAAAGCGUGGGGGAUCAACAUCAUGCCAAAAGUAAAAGUGGACUACACUUGCUGCAAUACAUGCCGUACUCAAAAAACACCUGUGAAGAAAUAAAGAAAAUAUAACGACAUUUCAUCUUGGUACAAUAAAAUCCUUCUUAUUGUGAAAGAGAAUGAACACCCCCAUUAGUUACUGUGGCAUGGGAGUUACCCUAACGGAGGGAGGCACUCUGGAAAUUACUUAA